AGAGAUGUAUCGGUUCCCUCAACUUAUAUCAGUGAUAAUAAACCACAACACUAUAAUAUAUUCAAUGUAUUAUUUGUUUUCCCGUGUAGUUUUUGAGCUUCUUAUAUAGCAAAAAUAUUAUGGACUUUUAUCCUUGGAUCUUUGAUUUAAUUUCGUCCAAAAUUUUUGCACAAUUUGUUGGAUAAGAUUUGUUCCAUAAAUAUCUCCAACAAAAAGAUAUGAUUUAGUUUGUCUCAAAUUCAAAUUUAAAUCACAUUUAAAUCUGAUUUGAUCGUCAUAG
rnacentral:lncRNA from 1 species